ensembl:miRNA
GUCAUUUUUGUGAUCUGCAGCUAGUAUUCUCACUCCAGUUGCAUAGUCACAAAAGUGAUCA